UUGGAGGGCAGUCUGGUGCAGCAGCCGCGGUAUUCCAGCUCCAAUAGCGUAUAUUAAAGUUGUUGCAGUUAAAAAGCUCGUAGUUGAACUUCGGGGUCUACCCAUUGGUCAGGCUUAAUUGUCUGCACUGGUGAGAUGGAUCUCUACCUUCUGAGGAACUUUCAUGCCAUUUAUUUGGUGUGGUUGGAAAUCAGGACUGUUACUUUGAAAAAAUUAGAGUGUUUAAAGCAGACUAUCGUCUGAAUACAUUAGCAUGGAAUAAUGAAAUAGGACGGACUGAUUCUAUUUCGUUGGUUUCUAGGAUCACCGUAAUGAUUAAUAGGGAUAGUUGGGGGCAUUAGUAUUCAAUUGUCAGAGGUGAAAUUCUUGGAUUUAUUGAAGACUAACUACUGCGAAAGCAUUUGCCAAGGAUGUUUUCAUUAAUCAAGAACGAAAGUUAGGGGAUCGAAGACGAUCAGAUACCGUCGUAGUCUUAACCAUAAACUAUGCCGACUAGGGAUCGGACGAAGUUAAUUUUAUAAUGACGCGUUCGGCGCCUUACGGGAAAC
rnacentral:rRNA from 1 species